GGUGAGAAUCCCAUUACGUGACCGGUCGACACGCCCGUGUGAAGCUCUUUCGACGAGUCGAGUUGUUUGGGCACGCAUCUCAAAAUCGGUCGUAAAUUUCAUCUAAAGCUAAAUAUUGGCCAGAGACCGAUAGCGCACAAGUAGAGUGAUCGAAAGAUGAAAAGCACUUUGGAAAGAGAGUCAAACAGUACGUGAAAUUGUUGAAAGGGAAGCGCUUGCAGCCAGACUUGCCCGCGGGUGAUCAGCCGGUAUUCUUACCGGUGCACUCGCCCGUUGUCAGGCCAGCAUCGGUUCGGGCGGCUGGAUAAAGUCCACUGGAACGUAGCUCCCCUCGGGGAGUGUUAUAGCCAGAGGUGCAAUGCAGCCCGCCGGGACCGAGGACCGCGCUUCGGCUAGGAUGCUGGCGUAAUGGUUGCAAGCGACCCGUCUUGAAACACGGACCAAGGAGUCUAACAUCUAUGCGAGUGUUUGGGUGUCAAACCCAUGCGCGUAAUGAAAGUGAACGGAGGUGGGAACCCUCAAGGGUGCACCAUCGACCGAUCCUGAUGUCUUCGGAUGGAUUUGAGUAAGAGCAUAGCUGUUGGGACCCGAACUAUGCCUGAAUAGGGUGAAGCCAGAGGAAACUCGCAGCGGUUCUGACGUGCAAAUCGAUCGUCAAA
rnacentral:rRNA from 1 species